GGAGAUAGCUCAGUGGUAGAGUGUGUGCUUUGUAUGCAUGAGGUCCUGGGUUCAAUCCCCAGUACUUCCA
rnacentral:tRNA from 1 species